AGCGGCAGGCCUAACACAUGCAAGUCGAGGGGUAACGGGGGUGCUUGCACCCGCCGACGACCGGCGCACGGGUGCGUAACGCGUAUACAAUCUGCCCCUUACUGGGGAAUAGCCCAGAGAAAUUUGGAUUAAUGCCCCAUGGUACAUAGAUAUGGCAUCAUAUCAAUGUUAAAGGUUACGGUAAGGGAUGAGUAUGCGUACCAUUAGUUAGUUGGUAAGGUAACGGCUUACCAAGACAUCGAUGGUUAGGGGCCCUGAGAGGGGGAUCCCCCACACUGGUACUGAGACACGGACCAGACUCCUACGGGAGGCAGCAGUGAGGAAUAUUGGACAAUGGGCGGGAGCCUGAUCCAGCCAUGCCGCGUGUAGG
rnacentral:rRNA from 1 species